AGAAGAGGACAGUGGAACUCCAUGUGUAGCGGUGAAAUGCGUAGAUAUAUGGAAGAACACCAGUGGCGAAGGCGGCUGUCUGGUCUGUAACUGACGCUGAGGCUCGAAAGUAUGGGUAGCAAACAGGAUUAGAUACCCUGGUAGUCCAUACCGUAAACGAUGAAUGCUAAGUGUUGGAGGGUUUCCGCCCUUCAGUGCUGCAGCUAACGCAUUAAGCAUUCCGCCUGGGGAGUACGGCCGCAAGGCUGAAACUCAAAGGAAUUGACGGGGGCCCGCACAAGCGGUGGAGCAUGUGGUUUAAUUCGAAGCUACGCGAAGAACCUUACCAGGUCUUGACAUACUAUGCAAAUCUAAGAGAUUAGACGUUCCCUUCGGGGACAUGGAUACAGGUGGUGCAUGGUUGUCGUCAGCUCGUGUCGUGAGAUGUUGGGUUAAGUCCCGCAACGAGCGCAACCCUUAUUAUCAGUUGCCAGCAUUAAGUUGGGCACUCUGGUGAGACUGCCGGUGACAAACCGGAGGAAGGUGGGGAUGACGUCAAAUCAUCAUGCCCCUUAUGACCUGGGCUACGCACGUGCUACAAUGGAUGGUACAACGAGUUGCGAACUCGCGAGAGUAAGCUAAUCUCUUAAAGCCAUUCUCAGUUCGGAUUGUAGGCUGCAACUCGCCUACAUGAAGUCGGAAUCGCUAGUAAUCGCGGAUCAGCAUGCCGCGGUGAAUACGUUCCCGGGCCUUGUACACACCGCCCGUCACACCAUGAGAGUUUGUAACACCCAAAGUCGGUGGGGUAACCUUUUAGGAACCAGCCGCCUAAGGUGGGACAGAUGAUUAGGGUGAAGUCGUAACAAGGUAGCCGUA
rnacentral:rRNA from 1 species